rnacentral:rRNA from 1 species
ACGAACGCUGGCGGCGUGCCUAACACAUGCCAGUCGGACGGAAAGGCCCUGGUUUUGUGGGGUGCUCGAGUGGCGAACGGGUGAGUAACACGGGAGUAACCCGCCCUUUACUUUGGGAUUACUUCAGGAAACCGGGGCUUAUACCGGAUAGGAGGUCCUGCUGCAUGGGGGGGGGUGGAAAGUUUCGGCGGGUGGGGAUGGAAUCGCGGCUUAUCAGCUUGGUGGGGGGGUAGUGGCUUACCAAGGGUUUGACGGGUAGGCGGCCUGAGAGGGUGACCGGCCACAUUGGGACUGCGAUACGGCCCAGACUCCUACGGGAGGCAGCAGUGGGGAAUAUUGCACAAUGGGCGGAAGCCUGAUGCAGCAACGCCGCGUGCGGGAUGACGGCCUUCGGGUUGUAAACCGCUUUCGCCUGUGACGAAGCGUGAGUGACGGUAAUGGGUAAAGAAGCACCGGCUAACUACGUG